rnacentral:rRNA from 1 species
UACGGGGGGGGCAAGCGUUGUUCGGAAUUACUGGGCGUAAAGGGCUUGUAGGUGGCCAACUAAGUCAGACGUGAAAUCCCUCGGCUUAACCGGGGAACUGCGUCUGAUACUGGAUGGCUAGAGUGUGGGAGAGGGAUGCGGAAUUCCAGGUGUAGCGGUGAAAUGCGUAGAUAUUCGCAAGAACACCAGUGGCGAAGGCGGCUCACUGGCCCGAUACUGACGCUGAGGCACGAAAGCGUGGGGAGCAAACAGG